rnacentral:misc_RNA from 1 species
AGCAGUCGGUCAUCGGAUCCUCUAAACAUCCAGCCGAAAGGACAUCACCAGAAAUUUGGAGAAGAGAAAGACACGGCGCAAAGAUGCCGGUGAUGGAGAAGCUAAAGAUAUUCGUAGUGCAAGAGCCUGUUGUCGCAGCUUCUUGCCUUAUCGCUGGUGUGGGUCUUUUCCUUCCAGCUGUGGUAAGGCCUAUUUUGGAUUCCUUGGAAACAAGCAAGCAAGUCCAGCAGCCUGCGAUAAGUGAUGUGGUUGCAGGCGUUCGUAAAAAGCAGGCAUAAAGUGACUCUUAAGAGCUAGUGGCAGAGUAUGAUUCUCUCUACUCUCUUCGGUUCUACCUGCUUUGUUUUCCCUCCAUCACGAGCAGCAUGAAAUAAGCCUUUCCUUUAAAUUGUUAAACACUGAGAAGAUCCUUUUUCGUACAAGUAUAUGAUUAUUUUGUUGGUAUGCUUAUUAAACACUUUUAAACGAUUGAUGCAUCGUUGGAAAUCAACUGCUUUCCAUUCCUUUGUCUGAGCAAAAUUUCAUUUAAAAUUAUUAGCUGCUUUCACAUGUUUCAUUAUCAGAGGCUGGCAAGAGGUCUCCUUAGAAUUUAUGAAAAGCAUCGGGGAUGUUGUGUGAUUAAUACUGCGAGAGCUGUCUGAUUAACCUCAGUACAUGAAUAAAAUUCAUAACGAUCCGACUGAAAACCUCAAAAUUAGUUGUAUGGGAC